rnacentral:lncRNA from 1 species
AUCACUUCCUCCUGAGUUGGCCCUGCCUUGGGACACUCACUCUUGAACCCCAGCCACCAUGUUGGGAGGAAGCCCAAAGGGGUCGACAGUGGGAGCCCAUGAGGAGAGGCGCAGGUGGAGAGGAGCUGAUGCCCCAGCCUAGAGCCAGCAUCCACCCCAGACACAGGUGAAGACGUCCCACUCACUCCCCUCCCACACCCCCGGCGAUGGACAGCUCACCGGAGCAGAGGCCAACAGCCUCUCGUUUUGUUAGUGAUGCUUCAGAGAUCCAGGCUCCUUCCAGCUUAGACAAACAGCCUCCUAGGUCACCGAGGAAAGAACAGAAGAAGACUAUAGAUGACGUGCAGGGCGUCUCGUGGCUGAACCCCUAUGCAGUGGGUUGUUUCUAUCCACCUCCCAUUGGCCAGGACCUAGUCUCAUGCCUUCAGCCUAACAAGGGAUCCCAGGAAAUAAAAGAUUGAAAUGGAA